UAUGUAUCUAGGUUCUUUUUUCAACUCCAUUCUGGACAAUAUAAAUGUGAAACUGGAGAAUGCAAUUCUGCUUUUCCUCACUUUUAGGCCAUGAUACUCUUCACAUCUGCCUCGAAGCUCCCUAUCCAUAAAGGCAACAGCAUAGUAAUUUUGAGAACACGUUUUGGGGUCACAUCCAAGAUCUACUACUUGCAACUUGACUUUGACCACAUGACUUGCUUACAUGAGCUUCAGAAUCUUUACCUCUAAAAUAAGCACUAUUUGUGAUAUUGUAAGGACCAGGUGCAGUAUUUUAGGCAUAUUAGAAAUGGCUUCAUUUCUGAGAGGGAUGACAAAGUUAAUCCUAUUUUGAGUUCCAUUUGAAGAAAAUGACACUUAAAGCUUGUUUUGCAUUUAUCAAAUGAGCCAGUGAGUUCAACAUUUACUGAAUGCCUUCGAAUGGAAGACACCGUGUUAGAUACCAGGGUUAUGAAGAUGAGCGGAGAACAGUCACUUCCGUCAAGAUAUUUAAUGUCUGGUGGGAGUUACAGAGUAGAAUUUGUGGUUUUCUGUUUCUUUAACAGAAAGGACCUUCAUCCCUUCGCAUCCACUUUGUGCCCAGGCACACCAGAGGACGAUUGCUUUCGAUUUCUCUGAGCCCUUCCCAACCUUGCUCUGCUGAUAAAAACCUCCCAGUCAUAAGGACUGCACAGCACCCCAAAUAGAAAUGCCAUAAAGUUUAUUUUGAUAAAUUGUACUCAUCCUGUACCUGAGAGGCCUGCUACGGGUGGAACAUAUAUCAGAUGAGUACCUGGGUUCCCACUUGCGGGGGACUUCCUACCUGCCAGUUGGUCAGAAGCUCAUCAGCCACUGCAGUCCUACUUUGAUCCAUUGCAUCUUAUUUUUUUUCUGCAGCCACAGGACUUGGCAUCCAGACAGAGGUGUCCUCACUUGGUAAUGGAUAUACUUGAAUCAGCCAAGCCACCCAUUCAGCAGCAGGAUAUUUGACAGUCUUCCUGAUUAAAGAAAAGAAGGUGCUUUACAAAAAAAGUUCCUCUCAUUUUCAUGAAUUUUCAAGGUUGGACUUUUGUUUUCUUUUUCUUUUCUUUUUUUUUUGGACUUUUGUUUUCUAUCUGGCAGCUGUUUGUUUCUGAUUUUCCCAGUUUAGGUGAACCAACUGUUAGGGGAAAUAAGUAAAGAUGUCAUUCUGAGGCAGAAGGGCAAUAACCUGGAUUACAAACUCAGAUCUGCCACUUUUCAGAUGACGAGGUUAAUCAGCCAACUCCUCUGGGCUUCAGCUUUCGGUAAAAUCCAUCAUUCACCUAUACAUUCAUUCAUUCAACAGGUAUAUACUGAAAACCUAGCACGCAGCCAUCUGGGUGCUAAGAAUACAAUGGUGAGAAAAAAAUCCACAAUUCUCAAUGGAUUGUAAGGGAUGAAAACUUUCCCUUUCUUCCAAGUCUUUUGACAGCUCUAAUAAUUAAGUUGGCCUAAGACAGACUAACAGGAGAAAAACGAAUUUAAUUCUGUAUAUAUGGGAGCUCAUAAAAAUAUGGAACUCAAAGAAGUGACCAGUGCAGGCAGCUUUAAUACCUUUAGACAAAGAAACACUAUGUUUGUGAAGAAGUGAGAAGACGGAAAGGUUUGGGCUUGGGGU
rnacentral:lncRNA from 1 species